UACAGAGGGUGCAAGCGUUAAUCGGAAUUACUGGGCGUAAAGCGUGCGUAGUCGGUUAUCUAAGUCAGGUGUGAAAUCCCCGGGCUCAACCUGGGAAUUGCAUUUGAUACAGCAAGUCUUGAGUUCGAGAGAGGUGGGUGGAAUUCCUAGUGUAGAGGUGAAAUUCGUAGAUAUUAGGAAGAACACCGGUGGCGAAGGCGGCCCACUGGCUCGACACUGACGCUGAGGUGCGAAAGCGUGGGGAGCAAACAGG
rnacentral:rRNA from 1 species